GUCUACGGCCAUACCUAGGCGAAAACACCAGUUCCCGUCCGAUCACUGCAGUUAAGCGUCUGAGGGCCUCGUUAGUACUAUGGUUGGAGACAACAUGGGAAUCCGGGGUGCUGUAGGCUCUC
rnacentral:rRNA from 1 species